AUUGAACGCUGGCGGCAUGCCUUACACAUGCAAGUCGAACGGUAACAGGUCUUCGGAUGCUGACGAGUGGCGAACGGGUGAGUAAUACAUCGGAACGUGCCCGAGAGUGGGGGAUAACGAAGCGAAGGCUUUGCUAAUACCGCAGACGAUCUCAGGAUGAAAGCAGGGGACCGCAAGGCCUUGCGCUCACGGAGCGGCCGAUGCCAGAUUAGGUAGUGGGUGGGAUAAAAGCUUACCAAGCCGACGAUCUGUACCUGGUCUGAGAGGACGACCAGCCACACUGGGACUGAGACACGGCCCAGACUCCUCCGGGAGGCAGCAGUGGGGAAUUUUGGACAAUGGGCGCAAGCCUGAUCCAGCCAUGCCGCGUGCAGGAUGAAGGCCUUCGGGUUGUAAACUGCCUUUUGUACGGAACGAAAAGACUCCUUCUAAUCAAGGGGGUCCAUGACGGUACCGUAAGAAUAAGCACCGGCUAACUACGUGCCAGCAGCCGCCGUAACAC
rnacentral:rRNA from 1 species